rnacentral:rRNA from 1 species
UACGUAGGUGGCAAGCGUUGUCCGGAUUUACUGGGCGUAAAGGGCGUGCAGGCGGUCUGUUAAGUCUAGGGUGAAAGCUCCCGGCUCAACUGGGAGAGGUCCUUGGAUACUGGCGGACUUGAGGGAUGCAGAGGAAAGUGGAAUUCCUGGUGUAGCGGUGAAAUGCGCAGAUAUCAGGAGGAACACCGAUGGCGAAGGCAGGUCUCUGGGCCACUACUGACGCUGAGAAGCGAAAGCAUGGGGAGCGAACAGG